UACGGGGGGUGCGAGCGUUGUCCGGAAUCACUGGGCGUAAAGGGCGCGUAGGUGGUUUGAUAAGGGUGUGGUGAAAGUCCGGGGCUCAACCCCGGAUCUGCCGUGCCGACUGUCAAACUCGAGGGCUGUAGAGGCAGACGGAAUUCCGGGUGUAGCGGUGGAAUGCGUAGAGAUCCGGAGGAAGACCGGUGGCGAAGGCGGUCUGCUGGGAUCUCGCUGACGCUGAGGCGCGACAGCGUGGGGAGCAAACAGG
rnacentral:rRNA from 1 species